UAGGUCAACACUCAAUCACUGAACCAUGCCAGCCAGGCCAGACAACCUGCAGAACAUUAGGAACUCCUUAUAUGAGUGGGUUUCAAACUUUUUGACUGCAGUCCACAGGAAGACAUUUGGUUUUACUCAUGCCCCAAUAUAUCACAACAUACAGACUAUAAUAAAGUUUUAUGAAACAGUAAUUUCCUGUAAUACUUAUGAUACUGUGGUAUACAAAUGUUUCUUUUACUUAGAAGUUCACCAGGGUCCAUUGACUUAUUUUGGACCAUAAUUUUCACCACACAUAUAUUUAAAGAUUGCUUUCCCAUGUACCAAAGACUGACUUUAAAAUGCUGCUACUGAAACAUAACUUAAAGUCUUAAUUGAUUUUUAAAGUUUCAAGAAUUCUAGCUUCUGUUUUCUGCUAUACUUGAAACAAAUAACUAUGCAUACAAAUAUAGAUUUUGCUGGCCUUAACAAAAUUUUUUUAUGAAACUAAUAAAUUCAGCUUAUCUCUAAGCCUAAAUAAAUGUAUACAGUUGUAAAGUGUUAUUUGUUAAAUGCUGAAUAUUCUCAGAACAUCACCUAAAAUAAUGGAAGAAAACACACCUUUGUACCACCAUAAUAAAUGUCAAAAAGCUUCAUCAUUAAAA